CAGUCGCCGCGGUAAUACGUAGGUGGCAAGCGUUGUCCGGAAUUAUUGGGCGUAAAGCGUGCGCAGGCGGUUGUGUAAGACAGGUGUGAAAUCCCCGGGCUUAACCUGGGAACUGCGCUUGUGACUGCACAGCUAGAGUAUGGCAGAGGGGGGUGGAAUUCCACGUGUAGCAGUGAAAUGCGUAGAGAUGUGGAGGAACACCGAUGGCGAAGGCAGCCCCCUGGGCCAAUACUGACGCUCAUGCACGAAAGCGUGGGGAGCAAACAGGAUUAGAUACCCGAGUAGUCCCUGUCUCUUAUAC
rnacentral:rRNA from 1 species